UCCUUAUUAGCUCAGUUGGCAGAGCAUGAGACUCUCAACCUCAGGGUCGUGGGUUUGAGCCCCACGUUGGGGAA